GAUGAACGCUGGCGGCGUGCCUAAUACAUGCAAGUCGAGCGAAUGGAUUAAGAGCUUGCUCUUAUGAAGUUAGCGGCGGACGGGUGAGUAACACGUGGGUAACCUGCCCAUAAGACUGGGAUAACUCCGGGAAACCGGGGCUAAUACCGGAUAACAUUUUGAACCGCAUGGUUCGAAAUUGAAAGGCGGCUUCGGCUGUCACUUAUGGAUGGACCCGCGUCGCAUUAGCUAGUUGGUGAGGUAACGGCUCACCAAGGCAACGAUGCGUAGCCGACCUGAGAGGGUGAUCGGCCACACUGGGACUGAGACACGGCCCAGACGCCUACGGGAGGCAGCAGUAGGGAAUCUUCCGCAAUGGACGAAAGUCUGACGGGGCAACGCCGCGUGAGUGAUGAAGGCUUUCGGGUCGUAAAACUCUGUUGUUAGGGAAGAACAAGUGCUAGUUGAAUAAGCUGACACCUUGGCGGUACCUAACCAGAAAGCCACGGCUAACUACGUGCCAGCAGCCGCCGUAA
rnacentral:rRNA from 1 species